AGAUAAUGACGGUAUCCGGAGAAUAUGCCCCGGCUAACUUCGUGCCAGCAGCCGCGGUAAUACGAAGGGGGCAAGCGUUUUUCGGAAUUACUGGGCGUAAAGCGCGUGUAGGCGGUUUUUUAAGUCAGGGGUGAAAUCCCGGGGCUCAACCCUGGAACUGCAUUUUUAUACUCGAAGUCUUGAGUAUGUCAGAGGGGGGUGGAAUUCCGAGUGUAGCGGUGAAAUUCGUAGAUAUUUGGAGGAACACCGAUGGCGAAGGCAGCCCCCUGGUCCAAUACUGACGCUCAGGUGCGAAAGCGUGGGGAGCAAACAGGAUUAGAUACCCUGGUAGUCCACGCCCUAAACGAUGUCAUAUUAGCUGUUGGGCCUUUAGGCUUUAGUGGCGCAGCUAACGCGUGA
rnacentral:rRNA from 1 species